CGCAUAUCAAUAAGCGGAGGAAAAGAAACCAACAGGGAUUGCCCUAGUAACGGCGAGUGAAGCGGCAACAGCUCAAAUUUGAAAUCUGGCUCUUUUAGAGUCCGAGUUGUAAUUUGCAGAGGGCGCUUUGGCUUUGGCAGCGGUCCAAGUUCCUUGGAACAGGACGUCACAGAGGGUGAGAAUCCCGUACGUGGUCGCUGGCUAUUGCCGUGUAAAGCCCCUUCGACGAGUCGAGUUGUUUGGGAAUGCAGCUCUAAAUGGGAGGUACAUUUCUUCUAAAGCUAAAUAUUGGCCAGAGACCGAUAGCGCACAAGUAGAGUGAUCGAAAGAUGAAAAGCACUUUGGAAAGAGAGUCAAACAGCACGUGAAAUUGUUGAAAGGGAAGCGCUUGCAGCCAGACUUGCUUGCAGUUGCUCAUCCGGGCUUUUGCCCGGUGCACUCUUCUGUAGGCAGGCCAGCAUCAGUUUGGGCGGUAGGAUAAAGGUCUCUGUCACGUACCUCUCUUCGGGGAGGCCUUAUAGGGGAGACGACAUACUACCAGCCUGGACUGAGGUCCGCGCAUCUGCUAGGAUGCUGGCGUAAUGGCUGUAAGCGGCCCGUCUUGAAACACGGACCAAGGAGUCUAACAUCUAUGCGAGUGUUUGGGUGUCAAGCCCGAGCGCGUAAUGAAAGUGAACGGAGGUGGGAACCCGCAAGGGUGCACCAUCGACCGAUCCUGAUGUCUUCGGAAGGAUUUGAGUAAGAGCAUGGCUGUUGGGACCCGAAAGAUGGUGAACUAUGCUUGAAUAGGGUGAAGCCAGAGGAAACUCUGGUGGAGGCUCGCAGCGGUUCUGACGUGCAAAUCGAUCGUCAAAUUUGGGCAUAGGGGCGAAAGACUAAUCGAACUAUCUAGUAGCUGGUCUGC
rnacentral:rRNA from 1 species